CGCUAGCCACUGGCUUAACACAUGCAAGUCGAGGGGCAGCAUGAUUGAAGCUUGCUUCAAUUGAUGGCGACCGGCGCACGGGUGAGUAACACGUAUCCAACCUUCCGUACACUCAGGGAUAGCCUUUCGAAAGAAAGAUUAAUACCUGACGGUAUCUUAAGCACGCAUGUAAUUAAGAUUAAAGAUUUAUCGGUGUACGAUGGGGAUGCGCUCCAUUAGGUAGUAGGCGGGGUAACGGCCCACCUAGCCUACGAUGGAUAGGGGUUCUGAGAGGAAGGUCCCCCACAUUGGAACUGAGACACGGUCCAAACUCCUACGGGAGGCAGCAGUGAGGAAUAUUGGUCAAUGGACGAGAGUCUGAACCAGCCAAGUAGCGUGAAGGAUGAAGGUCCUACGGAUUGUAAACUUCUUUUAUAAGGGAAUAAAACCUCCCACGUGUGGGAGCUUGUAUGUACCUUAUGAAUAAGCAUCGGCUAACUCCGUGCCAGCAGCCGCGGUAAUACGGAGGAUGCAAGCGUUAUCCGGAUUUAUUGGGUUUAAAGGGAGCGCAGACGGGUCGUUAAGUCAGCUGUGAAAGUUUGGGGCUCAACCUUAAAAUUGCAGUUGAUAC
rnacentral:rRNA from 1 species